UGGGAANAGGCCACAGUCACUGUAGCCAUGGU
rnacentral:piRNA from 1 species